AAUGCGGUCACGCUGUGAAUCCGUCUUUUAUUUAGCCGCUUUUAAACAGAACACAUCUGGAGCAACUUUUAUUAAUUAUUUAAUUAAAUCAGAAAGAUUGAUUAAAUAUAAUAACUUAAAAAUUUACAUCAUUCAAUGUCAAUAUGGAGAGAAACAGCGCUGGUCAGCAUACAGGAUGGCAUUUGUGGCUUCGGCGACUGAAAUCUGAAGCACUUGAACCACGUGGUUGAAAUUGCACGUUUGAAAUGCAGAAAAAAUGUAUUAACAAAUUGGCAUAAAUGUUCGCUACAUGAUAUAUUUCAUUUCCGGCAUCUCUCAAGAACAAACGUGAAUGUUUGGUGUGCUUAAUAAUAUGUUUUGGCACAUCUUAAAAAAUAAAGUUAGUUUGGAUUUCUGGAUUCUUAAAAUGAAUUUGUGAUGGAACCAUUUGUCAAAAAAAAACUGGAGACACAAUUGCUACAAAAGUUUUACUUAUUUGCCUCUACCAUAAAUGGAUUUGGAAUUAUAUGCAGUUCAUAGAGAAGCGCUUUCAUGGAUGUGACGAAUAGUACAAUCAAUAAAAUACAUAUUUUAUAACUAAAAUAAACUUAUGAACAACUUACAAC